rfam:Aspergillus cristatus strain GZAAS20.1005 Scaffold_Scf_3, whole genome shotgun sequence.
GGCAAGGUGGCCGAGUGGUCUAAGGCGCACGGUUCAGGUUACUGGAUCUCUUAAGCUCUUCCUUCGGGUUAGCUUCCGUGUCUCGCAAGGGGCGUGGGUUCGAAUCCCACCCUUGUCA